UACAUCUCACCUCGCGAUACUUACAGGAAGUCCAAGCACGUUGGUCAGGCGCCGGUUUCCGGUUACGUCGUGGGCGAUUGGCCUUGACGGAGAGGAGGGGCCUUGCUUGUUUCCUUUUUGUGAAGUUGAGUGGUCUCCCAGCUGAGAGAUGCAAUAAAAAUGUCAAGAAAUCCAUAGCUCGAUGGCCAUAAAGGGUAUACACAAGGAAGCUUGAAGCUUUCCAAGUUCUUAUUCAAACUAUUCUCCCUCUCAGAUUUACAUCUUAAGUCCAUUUCAUGCCUUGUAUAUAAAAAACUACCAAACCAAAUAAAGAUCUGGAAAUCUUUCCCCUCUC